AUAUUUAGUUCCAAGCCUGAUGUUGAUUCGUUGGUAAACUAUUUGUGCAAAGACUUGACUAAUUCAUGUAGAAAGAAGCCACCUCCAGUUCCCAAGGAUAGAACUCCAGGAGAACCAUUUGUGCCAAAACCAGCCAAAGAUGCUGAGAUGGAGAAGAUUUUGAGAUCCAUGGAGGGUAUGCCAGGAGCACCUAACAUGCAAAUGUAUUCAAGGGAAGAUUUGAUGAACAUGAAAAAUUUUGGUAAUGAAGAAGGCGAUGAAAAUGACGAUGAAGAUGAGGUUGAUGAUAGACACUUCCCUUCAAAUUUGGCAAAAGUUAUGAGAGGGAAGGAAAGCAGAAAUGAUGACUGGAAACAGAAGAUCACCGAAGGAUUAAAAAACACCGGUGAGACAUUGAAGAGGCAUGCAAACAAGGUCUCCAACAGGUUGCGACAAUGGUGGAAAAGAAUAAAGGCAGCACGCACAAAUAAGAAUUCAAAUGCUGGCAAAUUAGAGCUUUAGGCACCAUUUUAUUGAACAGAUCUCUUCACAGUUUUUUUCUUGGUGAUCUUAAGCCUAAAACAACACAAUAAUAAAACUGUGAAGAGAUCUGUUCAAUAAAA
rnacentral:misc_RNA from 1 species